GAACUGGAUGACUAUUUUUAGCCAGGGGAGCCUUGCAGGCACCUUCACUUGAUCAUUUGAAUCACUCUCUGGACUAUCUUGAUGGUAGUAAGUUUACCAAGUCGACAAAGAUCCUGACUGUUGUCUUCAGUAAGCAGAUGAAUCCCACUUCAGCUACUUUUCAUAGAAUUUUUGUCAGACGUUCAUUUCUAAAAGUCAAAUAUCAAACCAUUAAAGAUAAUAAUAGUUUUGUCCUACCCUUUGCAGGGAGCAAGCUGGAAGAAGCUGGUCUUGGGUACAGUGCUCCUUCUUUGGCUUCAUUUUAUGGCUCUACUACUAUUGACAGAUGGGAAAUAUUAGCUUCUGUUAAGAUUUUUCCCCCAUUACCUCUAAGCACUAUACAGACAGGGAUAGAUAAUCCUGCCUUUCUUCAGUCCCAGAAACAGAGACACCAGGACACGUUCCCAGCCUUUGCAGGAGGGAUAGAGAGAAAUUGUCACAAGCGUUUUUCAGAGUGGACUAUGCAAGUAAAAUGCAACAGGGAAUGAAUACCUACAGUAAGUCCUGAGAUUUGGGAAUACAAAUUAACAAUGUUAUCUAGAUUUUCAGAGGCAGGUGGAUAAAACUGGACCUCAUCAAAUGCCUUUUAUUUAGCCAUGUAGCUCUUGUAAUGAUAAUUUGCAGAGAAAUGUAUCCUUAAGUGAUUUCCUAAGUGUCUCCAUUUCUGUGUGAGUUUAAACGAGGGGAGACUUAUAUAAGAGAAACUUAAUUAUGUGUUGUUUUCUCUUUCAGAAAAUGUUCUCUCCAUGUUAAAAAAACAAUGACAACAAAAACCCUACUUAAAACCAGAAAGAAAAAAAAAAUCAGUUCCAAAAUAAUAGCUGAUAGUAGUAGAUAAUGGUGCUCUGUUUAAUAGGGAUGUAAUACUCACCAGCCAUGGUGUGUAUGAAGACUAUGGAGAAACCAUCCUAAGCAUCCCAUUGGCAUUCUCUACAAACAUCAAAAUGAAAAAUGACUCCUUAGAAACUAUGUAUUUUCUAUUCCGACUAUUUUCUACUUGUAUUUAAACUCUUCCAAGUGAAAAUGAAGAGCUCAAUUGGUGUGAACUGCCCCAGUAGGAAUGUGCCGUGUUGAUCAUUUGGCUACGGUAAUGCUACUUGCAUUUACCUGUAGUUGUCGUAAAUGCUGACUACUUGACCUGAAGUUAUUUCACACAUUUUUUUGCCAGAUAUUUUCCACAUCUUCUUAAGAUUUAAGCAAACAGUAAUUCAAUCCCUUUGAAAUCCAAAUAAAAUGCAAAAAUACACUUCA
rnacentral:lncRNA from 1 species